rnacentral:rRNA from 1 species
GGACGAACGCUGGCGGCGUGCUUAACACAUGCAAGUCGAACGAUGAAGCCCUUCGGGGUGGAUUAGUGGCGAACGGGUGAGUAACACGUGGGCAAUCUGCCCUGCACUCUGGGACAAGCCCUGGAAACGGGGUCUAAUACCGGAUACUGAUCGCCUUGGGCAUCCUUGGUGAUCGAAAGCUCCGGCGGUGCAGGAUGAGCCCGCGGCCUAUCAGCUUGUUGGUGAGGUAAUGGCUCACCAAGGCGACGACGGGUAGCCGGCCUGAGAGGGCGACCGGCCACACUGGGACUGAGACACGGCCCAGACUCCUACGGGAGGCAGCAGUGGGGAAUAUUGCACAAUGGGCGAAAGCCUGAUGCAGCGACGCCGC